AGGACGAACGCUGGCGGCGUGCUUAACACAUGCAAGUCGAGCGGUAAGGCCCUUUCGGGGGUACACGAGCGGCGAACGGGUGAGUAACACGUGAGUAAUCUGCCCUUCACUCUGGGAUAAGCACUCGAAAGGGUGUCUAAUACCGGAUAUGACAUGGACCUGCAUGGGUUUGUGUGGAAAGUUUUUUCGGUGGGGGAUGUGCUCGCGGCCUAUCAGCUUGUUGGUGGGGUAAUGGCCUACCAAGGCUUCGACGGGUAGCCGGCCUGAGAGGGUGACCGGCCACACUGGGACUGAGACACGGCCCAGACUCCUACGGGAGGCAGCAGUGGGGAAUAUUGGACAAUGGGCGAAGCCUGAUCCAGCAACGCCGCGUGAGGGAUGACGGCCUCGGUUGUAACCUCUUCAUCAUUGACGAAGACUCCAUGUUGAUUGGGUGACGGUAGGUGGAGAAGAAGACACCGGCCAACUACGUGCCAGCAGCUGC
rnacentral:rRNA from 1 species